UUUUGCAUCAUGAUUUAGCCAGUACACCCCAAGCAAAGCGGCACUUUAGUUUGGGCCCCCGAAACUACGUGAGCUACUCCAAGACAGCCUAUUAGUAGGGCAAACCCGUCUCUGUGGCAAAAGAGUGGGAAGAGCUUUGAGUAGAGGUGAUAGACCUAUCGAACCUAGUGAUAGCUGGUUGCCUGAGAAUUGGACAGGAGUUCAGCCUCCCGGCUUCUUUCUAAACCAGGAGAGUUAUUCAAAGGAGGUACAGCCCCUUUGAAACAAGACACAACUUUCCCAGGAGGGUAAAGAUCACAAUCACCAAAGGUAACUUGCUGCGGUGGGCCUAAAAGCAGCCAUCCCUACAGAAAGCGUUAAAGCUCAAGCACUUUAUUUAGAUAAUCAAAUCCCAACCCCCUAACACUAUCAGGCCAUCUCAUGUACACAUGAGAGUGUUCAUGCUAAUAUGAGUAAUAAGAGAGGCCUCUCUCCUUGCACACGUGUAAGUCGGAUCGGACCCCCACCGACAAUUAACGGCCCCAAACAAAGAGGGCAAUGAACGACAACCAGAAAACCGCUCACCGUUAACCCCACACUGGUGUGCCCCCAAGGAAAGACCAAAAGAAGAAGAAGGAACUCGGCAAACAAGCCUCGCCUGUUUACCAAAAACACCGCCUCUUGCAGA
rnacentral:rRNA from 1 species